GGGCUGUAGCUCAGUGGUGGAGUGCCAGCCUCGCACAUGUGAGGCACUGAGUUCGAUCCUCAGCACCCA
rnacentral:tRNA from 1 species